UACAGAGGGUGCGAGCGUUAAUCGGAAUUACUGGGCGUAAAGGGUGCGCAGGCGGCGUCGCAAGUCAGGCGUGAAAUCCCCGGGCUUAACCUGGGAACUGCAGUCGAGACUGUCUAGCUAGAGUAUGGGAGAGGGAAGUGGAAUUUCAGGUGUAGCGGUGAAAUGCGUAGAUAUCUGAAGGAACAUCAGUGGCGAAAGCGACUUCCUGGACCAAUACUGACGCUCAUGUGCGAAAGCGUGGGGAGCAAACAGG
rnacentral:rRNA from 1 species